GAUGAACGCUGGCGGCGUGCUUAACACAUGCAAGUCGAACGAUGAAGCCCAGCUUGCUGGGUGGAUUAGUGGCGAACGGGUGAGUAACACGUGAGUAACCUGCCCUUAACUCUGGGAUAAGCCUGGGAAACUGGGUCUAAUACCGGAUAGGAGCGUCCACCGCAUGGUGGGUGUUGGAAAGAUUUAUCGGUUUUGGAUGGACACGCGGCCUAUCAGCUUUUUGGUGAGGUAAUGGCUCACCAAGGCGACGACGGGUAGCCGGCCUGGGAAGGUGACCGGCCACACUGGGACUGAGACACGGCGCAGACUGCUACGGGAGGCAGCAGGGGGGAAUAUUGUAGAGUGGGGGCGAGCGUGAUGCAACGACGCCGCGUUAGGGAUGACGGCCUUCGGGUUGUAAACCUCUUUCAGUAGGGAAGAAGCGAGAGUGACGGUACCUGCAGAAGAAGCACCGGCUAACUACGUG
rnacentral:rRNA from 1 species